rnacentral:rRNA from 1 species
UGCAGUCGAACGGUAACAGGAAGCAGCUUGCUGCUUCGCUGACGAGUGGCGGACGGGUGAGUAAUGUCUGGGAAACUGCCUGAUGGAGGGGGAUAACUACUGGAAACGGUAGCUAAUACCGCAUAACGUCGCAAGACCAAAGAGGGGGACCUUCGGGCCUCUUGCCAUCGGAUGUGCCCAGAUGGGAUUAGCUAGUAGGUGGGGUAACGGCUCACCUAGGCGACGAUCCCUAGCUGGUCUGAGAGGAUGACCAGCCACACUGGAACUGAGACACGGUCCAGACUCCUACGGGAGGCAGCAGUGGGGAAUAUUGCACAAUGGGCGCAAGCCUGAUGCAGCCAUGCCGCGUGUAUGAAGAAGGCCUUCGGGUUGUAAAGUACUUUCAGCGGGGAGGAAGGYGUUGAGGUUAAUAACCUCAGCGAUUGACGUUACCCGCAGAAGAAGCACCGGCUAACUCCGUGCCAGCAGCCGCGGUAAUACGGAGGGUGCAAGCGUUAAUCGGAAUUACUGGGCGUAAAGCGCACGCAGGCGGUCUGUCAAGUCGGAUGUGAAAUCCCCGGGCUCAACCUGGGAACUGCAUUCGAAACUGGCAGGCUAGAGUCUUGUAGAGGGGGGUAGAAUUCCAGGUGUAGCGGUGAAAUGCGUAGAGAUCUGGAGGAAUACCGGUGGCGAAGGCGGCCCCCUGGACAAAGACUGACGCUCAGGUGCGAAAGCGUGGGGAGCAAACAGGAUUAGAUA